rnacentral:sRNA from 1 species
GGCUAUUAUCUAUUUUGAUUUUAUUGAACCAUAAACUAAUUUUUGACUCUUCACAUUUUACAUAAUCCGCUUCGCGGAUUAUUCAAUGUGAAGAGUCAAAAAUUAGUUUUAUGGUUCAAUAAAAUCAAAAUAGAUAAUAGCCA